rnacentral:lncRNA from 1 species
AUUUUUACCCAGCUGACAGUCUCCAUAAUGUUGAUGGGUUAAAUGUAAUCAGUUUUUUUAACAAAAUAAGUGCAUUAUGUGAGGGUGUUUAUGUUUGCAGCUGUAUAUCCUUUUUAAAAAUAAAAAUCUAAAGAUUGUCAAAUUUUCCUCAUAAUUUUUCCAUUUCUCUUAUUUUUCUGCUUAAUAGCAGUAAAGUAUGUGCUUAUGGUGAGAAGCCACAUUGUUAAAUCAUGUAGACUUUGAAAAUAUAGCCAGCCAAAAUGUUAUUAGUUUAAAAACAUGUACUGUUAAUGUGGUAAAAUUGGGGUUUUUAUUGCCAGAUUUCACACAUUUGAUGGCACCAGUUGAUCCACCACUUACUGAAUUUUUAUUUAGCUUUGUGCAAAGUAAGGUGGAGAUACUAUUAUGUCUAUGAUAAUCUUAUAUGUUGCACCUUUAUACUUUAAUCAGAUACUGAUCAAUUGAAGAUUCAUGAGUAGCUAACUCUAUGUAAAUAACUCAACCU